CCUACGGGUCGCACCAGUGGGGAAUAUUGCACAAUGGGCGCAAGCCUGAUGCAGCCAUGCCGCGUGUAUGAAGAAGGCCUUCGGGUUGUAAAGUACUUUCAGCGGGGAGGAAGGCGAUAAGGUUAAUAACCUUGUCGAUUGACGUUACCCGCAGAAGAAGCACCGGCUAACUCCGUGCCAGCAGCCGCGGUAAUACGGAGGGUGCAAGCGUUAAUCGGAAUUACUGGGCGUAAAGCGCACGCAGGCGGUCUGUCAAGUCGGAUGUGAAAUCCCCGGGCUCAACCUGGGAACUGCAUUCGAACCUGGCUGGCUAGAGUCUUGUAGAGGGGGGUAGAAUUCCAGGUGUAGCGGUGAAAUGCGUAGAGAUCUGGAGUAAUACCGGUGGCGAAGGAGGCCUCCUGGACAAAGACUGACGCUCAGGUGCGAAAGCGUGGGGAGCAAACAGGAUUAGAUACCCGGGUAGUC
rnacentral:rRNA from 1 species